GGUGUAACGGUGGAAUGUGUAGAUAUCGGGAAGAACACCAAUGGCGAAGGCAGGUCUCUGGGCCGUUACUGACGCUGAGGAGCGAAAGCGUGGGGAGCGAACAGGAUUAGAUACCCUGGUAGUCCACGCUGUAAACGGUGGAUGCUGGAUGUGGGGCCCGUUCCACGGGUUCCGUGUCGGAGCUAACGCGUUAAGCAUCCCGCCUGGGGAGUACGGCCGCAAGGCUAAAACUCAAAGAAAUUGACGGGGGCCCGCACAAGCGGCGGAGCAUGCGGAUUAAUUCGAUGCAACGCGAAGAACCUUACCUGGGCUUGACAUGUUCCCGACGAUCCCAGAGAUGGGGUUUCCCUUCGGGGCGGGUUCACAGGUGGUGCAUGGUCGUCGUCAGCUCGUGUCGUGAGAUGUUGGGUUAAGUCCCGCAACGAGCGCAACCCUCGCCCCGUGUUGCCAGCGGAUUAUGCCGGGAACUCACGGGGGACCGCCGGGGUUAACUCGGAGGAAGGUGGGGAUGACGUCAGAUCAUCAUGCCCCUUACGUCCAGGGCUUCACGCAUGCUACAAUGGCCGGUACAACGGGAUGCGACAGUGCGAGCUGGAGCGGAUCCCUGAAAACCGGUCUCAGUUCGGAUCGCAGUGUGCAACUCGACUGCGUGAAGGGGGAGUCGAUAGUAAUCGAGAAUCAGCAACGUCGCGGUGAAUGCGUUCCCGGGCCUUGUACACACCGCCCGUCAAGUCAUGAAAGUGGGCAGCACCCGAA
rnacentral:rRNA from 1 species